rnacentral:rRNA from 1 species
GACGAACGCUGGCGGCGUGCUUAACACAUGCAAGUCGAACGGAAAGGCCCUGCUUUUGUGGGGUGCUCGAGUGGCGAACGGGUGAGUAACACGUGAGUAACCUGCCCUUGACUUUGGGAUAACUUCAGGAAAAUGGGGCUAAUACAGGAUAGGAGCUCCUGCUGCAUGGUGGGGGUUGGAAAGUUUCGGCGGUUGGGGAUGGACUCGCGGCUUAUCAGCUUGUUGGUGGGGUAGUGGCUUACCAAGGCUUUGACGGGUAGCCGGCCUGAGAGGGUGACCGGCCACAUUGGGACUGAGAUACGGCCCAGACUCCUACGGGAGGCAGCAGUGGGGAAUAUUGCACAAUGGGCGGAAGCCUGAUGCAGCAACGCCGCGUGCGGGAUGACGGCCUUCGGGUUGUAAACCGCUUUCGCCUGUGACGAAGCGUGAGUGACGGUAAUGGGUAAAGAAGCACCGGCUAACUACGUG